UUUUGACAUGCAAGUAUCGGCAGGCGCGAAAGCGUCGGCCACCCUCGGGAGGCUUGCACAGGUGCUGCAUGGCUGUCGUCAGCUCGUGUCGUGAGAUGUUCGGUUAAGUCCGCUAACGAGCGCAACCCUCACUGUGUGUUAUAUGUGUCACACGGGACCGCCGGUCUUAAGCCGGAGGAAGGUGGGGAUGACGUCAAGUCCUCAUGGCCCUUACAUCCCGGGCUACACACGUGCUACAAUGGCAGGUACAGAGGGCUGCGAAGCCGCGAGGUGGAGCGAAUCCCAGAAAACCUGUCUCAGUCCGGAUUGAAGUCUGCAACUCGACUUCAUGAAGGCGGAAUCGCUAGUAACCGCGAAUCAGCAGGUCGCGGUGAAUACGUUCCCGGGCCUU
rnacentral:rRNA from 1 species